rnacentral:sRNA from 1 species
UCACGUCGUGGUACGUGAUGCCCCGUU